rnacentral:rRNA from 1 species
AGAGUUUGAUCCUGGCUCAGAUUGAACGCUGGCGGCAGGCCUAACACAUGCAAGUCGAGCGGUAGAGAGAAGCUUGCUUCUCUUGAGAGCGGCGGACGGGUGAGUAAUGCCUAGGAAUCUGCCUGGUAGUGGGGGAUAACGCUCGGAAACGGACGCUAAUACCGCAUACGUUCUACGGGAGAAAGCAGGGGACCUUCGGGCCUUGCGCUAUCAGAUGAGCCUAGGUCGGAUUAGCUAGUUGGUGAGGUAAUGGCUCACCAAGGCGACGAUCCGUAACUGGUCUGAGAGGAUGAUCAGUCACACUGGAACUGAGACACGGUCCAGACUCCUACGGGAGGCAGCAGUGGGGAAUAUUGGACAAUGGGCGAAAGCCUGAUCCAGCCAUGCCGCGUGUGUGAAGAAGGUCUUCGGAUUGUAAAGCACUUUAAGUUGGGAGGAAGGGCAGUAAAUUAAUACUUUGCUGUUUUGACGUUACCGACAGAAUAAGCACCGGCUAACUCUGUGCCAGCAGCCGCGGUAAUACAGAGGGUGCAAGCGUUAAUCGGAAUUACUGGGCGUAAAGCGCGCGUAGGUGGUUCGUUAAGUUGGAUGUGAAAUCCCCGGGCUCAACCUGGGAACUGCAUUUCAAAACUGUCUGAAGCUAGAGUAUGGUACGAGGGUGGUGGGAAUUUCCUGUGUAGCGGUGAAAUGCGUAGAUAUAGGAAAGGAACACCAGUGGCGAAGGGCGACCACCUGGACUGAUACUGACACUGAGGUGCGAAAGCGUGGGGGAGCAAACAGGAAUACAUACCCUGGGUAGUCCACGCCCAUAAACCGAUGUCCACUAGCCGUUGGCGAGCCCUUGAGCUUCUUAGUGGCGCAGCUAACGCAUUAAGUUGACCGCCUGGGGAGUACGGCCGCAAGGUUAAAACUCAAAUGAAUUGACGGGGGCCCGCACAAGCGGUGGAGCAUGUGGUUUAAUUCGAAGCAACGCGAAGAACCUUACCAGGCCUUGACAUCCAAUGAACUUUCCAGAGAUGGAUUGGUGCCUUCGGGAACAUUGAGACAGGUGCUGCAUGGCUGUCGUCAGCUCGUGUCGUGAGAUGUUGGGUUAAGUCCCGUAACGAGCGCAACCCUUGUCCUUAGUUACCAGCACGUAAUGGUGGGCACUCUAAGGAGACUGCCGGUGACAAACCGGAGGAAGGUGGGGAUGACGUCAAGUCAUCAUGGCCCUUACGGCCUGGGCUACACACGUGCUACAAUGGUCGGUACAGAGGGUUGCCAAGCCGCGAGGUGGAGCUAAUCCCAGAAAACCGAUCGUAGUCCGGAUCGCAGUCUGCAACUCGACUGCGUGAAGUCGGAAUCGCUAGUAAUCGCGAAUCAGAAUGUCGCGGUGAAUACGUUCCCGGGCCUUGUACACACCGCCCGUCACACCAUGGGAGUGGGUUGCACCAGAAGUAGCUAGUCUAACCUUCGGGAGGACGGUUACCACGGUGUGAUUCAUGACUGGGGUGAAGUCGUAACAAGGUAGCCGUAGGGGAACCUGCGGCUGGAUCACCUCCUU